AUGAACGCUGGCGGCGUGCCUAAUCCCUGCAAGUCGCGCGAACAGACGAGGAGCUUGCUCCUCUGACGUUAGCGGCGGACGGGGGAGUAACACGUGGAUAACCUACCUAUAAGACUGGGAUAACUUCGGGAAACCGGAGCUAAUACCGGAUAAUAUAUUUAACCGCAUGGUUCAAUAGUGAAAGACGGGUUUGCUGUCACUUAUAGAUGGAUCCGCGCCGCAUUAGCUAGUUGGUAAGGUAACGGCUUACCAAGGCAACGAUGCGUAGCCGACCUGAGAGGGUGAUCGGCCACACUGGAACUGAGACACGGUCCAGACUCCUACGGGAGGCAGCAGUAGGGAAUCUUCCGCAAUGGGCGAAAGCCUGACGGAGCAACGCCGCGUGAGUGAUGAAGGUCUUCGGAUCGUAAAACUCUGUUAUUAGGGAAGAACAAAUGUGUAAGUAACUAUGCACGUCUUGACGGUACCUAAUCAGAAAGCCACGGCUAACUACGUG
rnacentral:rRNA from 1 species